rfam:Manacus vitellinus contig126833, whole genome shotgun sequence.
AAAAAGGCUUUACUAAAGGCCAUACACAAAACCGAAUACCUUUUA